GUUUUUCUUUUUUUCUCUCCUGCGUCAGAGGGAAAUGAUUCCUUUCCCCUUUUUUCAUCUGAUAAGAGCGGAGAAACAGCUCUUUCCCUUUGAAUCUGAGCAACAAUACUGGAGGGAAGCCAUCAGAAUGUCACACUCUGCUUUAGCCACCGUAUUUGAGAGGACAGUGACCAGACUGGCGCUUGUUCAGAGGAGGGACGCUUUACUUGCCGGCCUGCCUCUGGGAACUCCUCCGUCUGCUGAUGUGCUCUCAGGCCCCCUGCUCUGGGCUCCCGGCACUUCCCCUCCCCUCCUGAGGGACUCCACAUGUUUCUCCCA